GCCCGGGUGGCUCAGUCGGUUGAGCGUCCGACUUCGGCUCAGGUCAUGAUCUCACAGUUCGUGGGUUCGAGCCCCGCAUCGGGCU
rnacentral:tRNA from 1 species